GAUGAACGCUAGCUACAGGCUUAACACAUGCAAGUCGAGGGGAAACGGCAUUGGGUGCUUGCACUGAAUGGACGUCGACCGGCGCACGGGUGAGUAACGCGUAUCCAACCUUCCCGUUACUGCGGGAUAACCUGCCGAAAGGCAGACUAAUACCGCAUGUUCUUCGAUGACGGCAUCAGAUUCGAAGCAAAGAUCCGUCGGUAACGGAGGGGGAUGCGUCUGAUUAGCUAGUUGGCGGGGCGACGGCCCACCAAGGCGACGAUCAGUAGGGGUUCUGAGAGGAAGGUCCCCCACAUUGGAACUGAGACACGGUCCAAACUCCUACGGGAGGCAGCAGUGAGGAAUAUUGGUCAAUGGGCGGAAGCCUGAACCAGCCAAGUAGCGUGCAGGAGGACGGCCCUACGGGUUGUAAACUGCUUUUAUGCGGGGAUAAAGUGAGGGACGCGUCCCUUUUUGCAGGUACCGCAUGAAUAAGGACCGGCUAAUUCCGUGCCAGCAGCCGCGGUAAUACGGAAGGUCCGGGCGUUAUCCGGAUUUAUUGGGUUUAAAGGGAGCGUAGGCCGGGGAUUAAGUGUGUUGUGAAAUGUAGGCGCCCAACGUCUGACUUGCAGCGCAUACUGGUUCCCUUGAGUACGCGCAACGCCGGCGGAAUUCGUCGUGUAGCGGUGAAAUGCUUAGAUAUGACGAAGAACCCCGAUUGCGAAGGCAGCCGGCGGGAGCGCAACUGACGCUGAAGCUCGAAGGUGCGGGUAUCGAACAGG
rnacentral:rRNA from 1 species